UGCAACAAGUUGCAAAAAGAGGAUUUUUUCAGCACGAGUCGUACAUUUAUCCAACGAGGUUCACCGAGUUGGAUAAAUACGACGAGUGCUGAAAAAAUCAAGUUUUGCAACGAGUUCCAUACAACAUUUUUUGCAAUUUCGAAAAACACCCAUUGAGUGAAAUUUUAAGUCGAAUUUUCAUGUAUUUUGUCAAUAAAUCGUUUAAAUCAAAAAAAUGUUGAAAAGUGUUACUUUUCGAAACAAGUGCUGAAAAGUGUUGCUAUUCGAUUCUGUUAUUUUUGGUACAGAAAAGUAGGCUAUUUCGUCGUUCAAGAAUGACAGGAAAAGUAAGUAGUUUCACGACGGAAUUGCAAAAAGUACAUUUCAGUACUGUUUUUGGCGAUGAAAAGUAGGCCAUUUCGUCAACGGAAUUGCAAAACCAAAUUUUAAUUCCCCAGCAUACAAUACCCUUCCAAAGAGUAUUGAAAAUAGAGCGCGGACUCGGUACAAAUUUCCAUUUUUUUUCAUGGUACCAACCAAAAGUACAACCGUAACGCCUUCGAUGAGGCGUUACCAUUUUCAGGCGUUACUAAAGUGGAAGGAGAUUUUUUUUCCCAUCAUAGCAAUCUCCUCCAAACAAGCAGUGACAGUUUUAAAAUAAACAAACCCCGACCGUGGAGAAUAAAUCGCGAUCUGCUAAAAAUCCAGAUCUGUACGGCAAAAGAAAAUGGACGCUGAGGCGCUUCUUAUGAUGAUGACGGGCAGAUUCGUGGGAAGCAACUCGGCCGUGUCGUCAGAUUGUAGCACCAGCAGCAGUAGCACAACGGCGAGCAACACUACCUGCAACUUGGGCCACUUGCAGGCUGCAUGUGGCCUACGCUUAAGCAAAGGAAAUCCGCAUAAAGCUUAGCAGUUUGGACUAGGCUCGCCGUACAUAUUCAAGUCCGGCAUCUAAUGACCUGCGGAAUCAACUAAUGUCCUGCGGAAUCAACUCACCACCCUUACCACAACCCUGUCCGUAACGUUCGCUGGCCUCAACGCAGGUUCACGGAUGGUCGGCCAGAACAAUACAUUGUUUCGGAACGGCGGGAAUCGACGAUGAUAUCCGUGGUAUUGAACGACUACCGCUGCUGCUAACUCAAAGAAUGGUUCUUUUACACAAAAUGUCAAUUAUUUAAAAAAAAUGCUCUAAUAAAGGAAUAAAAUUGUCAAAAAAGUUUUUUAUAAGACUUUUUUUGGUGCCAAAAUUAGCUUGUGACUCUUAAUGACUCCAUUUUGCAUUGAAUCUGCACACGGCCCCAAGAAUUGCUUCCCUGCCGAUCUCGCGCACUUUGUUUACGGCCCGAGAAGUUUUCUACGAUACGUUACAGUUAGUUUUAAUCUGUAUUAUUGUAGUUCAGAACUCCGUAGGCUAUAAAACCCAACCGGACCUUAGUUAAACUCUAUUAGUAAUAAAUCGCCACUUAUGGCAAGUGAACCGUGGUCGCACGACUUGAUCGUUAUUCACCGUCUGGAAGAGUUUCGCUUCCAAUUCCCAUACAGUCUACUGGCCUUUUUCCUUGUGUGGACUGGGCUACGAAGAGACCUUAACCAGUUAUCCAAAAUAUUCGCAUACACCUGUAAGGUUGAACUAGAAAAAAAGAGCUGAAGGUCGGUUCGCAUGAUUGACAAAAAACACGAUUUGACAGUUUAUUUUUCUAAAAGAUGAAAAUAUUUGACAGCAGAAAAUGUCACCAAAACAGUAACGCCUAAAGUCCAUUGAACAAAAACUUGUCACGCUUGAUUGCUGAGAUUAUGCUGAAGGGCUGUGUACCUGUGUACCGCGUUACGGGGUCAAAAAUAAAUCGCCAGUGUACCCUCUCAUUUCCCUUCUCUCUGACCCUUCCCCAAAUGAUUUCUUUCAGAAGCUGAUAAUCAAAAUCCACACACGACAACACACACACUUUGUAUGAAUAAUUUAACUGUAUUUUUUCUCGAAAUAAUUUAAAUUACACAUGGGUUUUUUUAGUGUUGUUCUUACUGUUGUUGUUGUUGGUUUUUUUGCUUGAUUUACAGUAUUAAAAUUACAGUUUUCUUAGCUGUUUAAAAAUAUUGUUUUGUUUUUUUUUGCUGGACAAACGAAAACGGGCGGGAAAAAAAUCCUUUCCACUGUAUUAAUUUAAGACGCUUCUUUUUUCUGGUUUAACGUUUAGUAAGUUUUGCUUGGUUUACUUUUUUGUUUCUUUUUUUUGCUGGGUUUCCACUAUGUCGAUUAGUUAUUACAUUCACUUGUUUUUUUUGUUUUGUUUGCUAACGCGUGAUUGUUCGCUCACUCUCCCUAAUCAAGUUGCGUCUAACCGUUUGAUUUUCUACAAUAAGUAUUAUUGUAGCUAGUUUGUAUGUUUGUUGUUGUUGUUUUUUUAGCUUAAAGUUCUAAUUUCAAUGUUGAGUGAUUUUCUCAGGAGUCUUGUCGCGCCGGUUUUCCCAAACACAAACA